CUACGGGACGCAGCAGUGAGGAAUAUUGGUCAAUGGCCGAAGGGCUGAACCAGCCAAGCCGCGUGAAGGAAUAAGGCCCUACGGGUCAUAAACUUCUUUAGUCAGGGAACAAAGGGUGCCACGUGUGGCGCUGUGAGUGUACCUGAAGAAUAAGCAUCGGCUAACUCCGUGCCAGCAGCCGCGGUAAUACGGAGGAUGCGAGCGUUAUCCGGAUUUAUUGGGUUUAAAGGGUGCGUAGGCAGUUUGUCAAGUCAGCGGUAAAAAUUCCGGGCUCAACCCGGUCCCGCCGUUGAAACUGGCGAACU
rnacentral:rRNA from 1 species